AAUAUUUACCUAGUUUUUACUCAUUCAGUGGGUUGUAACUAAUCUUCGACCAACUGCUGCUGCUGGUACACCAUCAUCAAGCUUCUCAUGGGUGUUUGACCUUAAAGGGAUAUCUGAAAUGUACCAGUCCUAUGAAGAAACAAAUUUAUGGGAAGUGGUGGAAAAUCUACCUCGUGGUGUGCAUGUUAAUUUUUUGAAAGCAGAAAGGAGUUUGCAUCGUUGGGCCCUUGAAGAUCUUCAGUGAAUCCAUGCUGCUGAAAGAGUCUGCUGCUGAUGGGGGAGGUGGAGUUGAAAUGCAUGUCCUCGAAGAUGCUGGGCACUGGGUACAUGCUGAUAACCCUGAUGGACUCUUCAGGAUUCUUUCAUUUUCUUUCAAGGGAGUUAAAGCCUAAAGGUGCUUUACUGCUUCUAUUCAAGAUUUGAUAUAGAUGGGUUCUGAGUUGCACAAAAGCAACAGCAAUUAUUUAGCUUAGCUCAAAAUUAUCACUUGAUUCAUAUAAUGAACAUUCUUCUACUUUUUCCCCCUUACCAGUUACCACUGCUGAGUGUUAUUCUAGGCUGAAUUAAUUUGUAGCAUAGACACUAUUUAGAAAAGAAAUUAUUGAGUACUGUAUGUGAUUCCAGAAAUCAUUCUUGUAUCAAAGUACAAUUGACAAAUCACAUUAAAAUUUGUUCUACA